AGUGAACGCUGGCGGUAGGCCUAACACAUGCAAGUCGAACGGCAGCACAGGAGAGCUUGCUCUCUGGGUGGCGAGUGGCGGACGGGUGAGGAAUACAUCGGAAUCUACUCUGUCGUGGGGGAUAACGUAGGGAAACUUACGCUAAUACCGCAUACGACCUACGGGUGAAAGCAGGGGACCUUCGGGCCUUGCGCGAUUGAAUGAGCCGAUGUCGGAUUAGCUAGUUGGCGGGGUAAAGGCCCACCAAGGCGACGAUCCGUAGCUGGUCUGAGAGGGUGAUCAGCCACACUGGAACGGAGACACGGUCCAGACUCCUACGGGAGGCAGCAGUGGGGAAUAUUGGACAAUGGGCGCAAGCCUGAUCCAGCCAUACCGCGUGGGUGAAGAAGGCCUUCGGGUUGUAAAGCCCUUUUGUUGGGAAAGAAAUCCAGCUGGCUAAUACCCGGUUGGGAUAACGGUACCCAAAGAAUAAGCACCGGCUAACUUCGUGCCAGCAGCCGCCGUAA
rnacentral:rRNA from 1 species